UCAGCUCCCCAGGCCGGUGGUCAAAAUUGAGGAGACAGAGAAUGCAGUUUUGAUUCGGCCAGUAUCACAGAUGGAGAUGCAGAAGACGGUAUGGAGUUUUGCCGAGGAUUAGGCCUCUGGACCCCACCCUCUCCCCACCUCUCCUUCUCAUAGAUAAAACGAGAGAAAAUAAAGGGUAUUGCGUUCGGAAAAAUAAAACCCAACAGGAUAGGAAUAAAAGAAAAAACAGCCCAUAGGAAAUAUAGAGAGGGAUUGAGGAGUGGGGAUUCGAGCGCCUUUUGUUCGAUUUCUUGCCCUCCCCCGCCUCCGUCCUCUCGAUAUUACCUUCCAGCCCUCGGAUCUCCCACCAGGUACGCGAUUCCCAGAAAUCUCCCCCGAUUUCUCUCGCUUCAAUCCUUAAUAAUCUCUCUUUAAAACCCUAGCUUUGUAUCCUGCUAGAAUCUUAAAUCUGGAUCCCUAUAUUCGCCCAUAUCUGUUGUUUUGGAUCAAAAUCGGAUUUUUUCUCGAUGGAAGAGCGAUUCCGUGGGGUAACGCCUAAAAUCUUAUGCUCCGCUCUUCCCACUUUUCAG
rnacentral:lncRNA from 1 species